rnacentral:rRNA from 1 species
UACGUAGGGGCCAGCGUUGUCCGGAAUCAUUGGGCGUAAAGCGCGCGUAGGCGGUCAGGUAAGUCCGGUGUGAAAGUCAAAGGCUCAACCUUUGAAUGCCGCUGGAAACUGCCUGACUUGAGUCCGGUAGGGGCGAGUGGAAUUCCUGGUGUAGCGGUGAAAUGCGCAGAUAUCAGGAGGAACACCAUGGCGAAGGCAGCUCGCUGGAACGGUACUGACGCUGAGGCGCGAAAGCGUGGGGAGCGAACAGG